UACGUAGGGUGCGAGCGUUAAUCGGAAUUACUGGGCGUAAAGCGUGCGCAGGCGGUUCGACAAGUCCGAUGUGAAAGCCCCGGGCUCAACCUGGGAGUGGCAUUGGAAACUGGCGGGCUGGAGUGUGGCAGAGGGGGGUGGAAUUCCGCGUGUAGCAGUGAAAUGCGUAGAGAUGCGGAGGAACACCGAUGGCGAAGGCAGCCCCCUGGGCUGACACUGACGCUCAGGCACGAAAGCGUGGGGAGCAAACAGG
rnacentral:rRNA from 1 species